CCUACGGGUGGCAGCAGUGAGGAAUAUUGGUCAAUGGGCGAGAGCCUGAACCAGCCAAGUCGCGUGAAGGAUGACAGCCCUACGGGUUGUAAACUUCUUUUGUCAGGGAGCAAUUGGGUCCACGCGUGGGCUUAGCGAGAGUACCUGAAGAAAAAGCAUCGGCUAACUCCGUGCCAGCAGCCGCGGUAAUACGGAGGAUGCGAGCGUUAUCCGGAUUUAUUGGGUUUAAAGGGAGCGUAGGCCGGUCUUUAAGCGUGCCGUGAAAUUUUGUGGCUCAACCAUAGAAUUGCCGUUGAAACUGGGAGGCUUGAGUAUGUUUGAGGCAGGCGGAAUGCGUGGUGUAGCGGUGAAAUGCUUAGAUAUCACGCAGAACCCCGAUUGCGAAGGCAGCCUGCCAAGCCAUGACUGACGCUGAUGCACGAAAGCGUGGGGAUCAAACAGGAUUAGAUACCCUGGUAGUC
rnacentral:rRNA from 1 species